rnacentral:lncRNA from 1 species
GAGAUGCACACAGACAGAACACACACAUCCGAGAGAUAUUGUUGAGAGCAUUCUGUCCAGAAAACACACACACACUUUGAGAGUUUACAAGUUAGGUUUGUAAACAUUGUGCUUGUAACCGAAACCUUCAUUUGCAUUAAUACAAGUUGUGUUAAUCGGUGAACCCGUGUGUGCUUGUGUUCAUACUUGUUUAAUCCCGGUUUGCUUGCUAGCUUGGAUUCCGCACUCGCUAGUGAGUUAGUAUAACAAGGUUUGAGGUUCGUCAUCCACCGGAUAUGGACCUACAAGUGUUUUCUGCAUAAAAACGGCUUCUAAACCUUUCGGGAGUGUUCAGGGUCGGUUUGUGUAAACAUAAAAUUUGUUUUGUGAAACUUUGUAUUUUCCGGCCACUUUUCCGAUCAUAUCUCCGGUGACUGGUUGAGGAUAAGGUUUGCUUAUUUGGGUAAACUUUUUGAAAGUCAAAAAGUUGGUGAAGAUCUGUGUGCAGAACAUACCUUUCUGCCGAAAGUACUUCACCAACCCAUCACCUUUUUCACCAACCUAUCACAUCAACGUCAGUUGUGUCAGAAUCUCUCGAAAGAUAUCUUUCGACUUCGAAAGACCAUCUU